AUGAGCAGCGGCACGAACAAGUUAUGCGGAUGUUCCAUCAUCGUCCUGCUGCGUCACCCUCAGGCAAAGCCACCUGACAUUCCGCCACACUCUGACUACAAGCCAUGUAUCCAGUAUGGCGCCAUCAAUAAGCACACCAGUGGAGGAGCUUCAAUAGGGCCAAGGGGGGCUAUGGCCCCCUACCCUAGAGAAAUUAUGGGUGUUUUGGGGAUCAAGAACUACAACAUGAUGUUGUUGGGGGACAUGCACGCGCAGAAAGAGAUGAUACUAGAGAAAGACCCGAGCGACUUCAGCUUCUCGGGUGACUGGGUGUUCUCGAGGAGGGUCUACUUUGAUUGA
rnacentral:rRNA from 1 species